AGACCGCCACGAUGACUUGCAAGCAACUCACUAUACUUGGGCACUAGACUACAAAAUUUCUAAUUCAGUGAUGGAAGGCUGCUGGGUGUAGUCAAGUACUUGACUUGUCGGUGCGUGUGUCAAGAUGGGAUUGACCACUCCAGUUCAGGAGCUGUGUAUAGUCGUGUUUCAAUUUAGCAAAAUCUUGGUCAGGAUAGUCUUUGUGAGGAGUCACAAGACUGUUUGAGUUGAG
rnacentral:lncRNA from 1 species